UACGGAGGGUGCGAGCGUUAUCCGGAUUCACUGGGUUUAAAGGGUGCGUAGGUGGGUUGGUAAGUCAGUGGUGAAAUCUCCGUGCUUAACAUGGAAACUGCCAUUGAUACUACUGAUCUUGAAUUUUCAGGAGGUAAGCGGAAUAUGUCAUGUAGCGGUGAAAUGCUUAGAUAUGACAUAGAACACCAAUUGCGAAGGCAGCUUACUACAGGAAUAUUGACACUGAGGCACGAAAGCGUGGGGAUCAAACAGG
rnacentral:rRNA from 1 species